UUUAAACGACCACUUCCGCAUUUCCCGUGUGUCUGCUCUGGUUGCUGUGCGAACAAAGCUAGCUAACACAUCUGGAAACACCGGUGGAAACUCCUCAACUUGACAUUUAGCGUUAAGUAAGGAAGCUAACCUGUCGACAGCCACGUUGUUUCACUACAGGGAGUCUUUGUGAAGGAAUACCAGAAGUACUGUGGACCCUGAACGCCACUUAAACCCUCAGCAGCAAAUACACCUGCUAGCUAACCCUGCUAAGAUGCUAACCAGAUCUGUUUAAUUCACAGAGCUCCGGCCCUCUGACUGGAUCAGAGCCCAGGAGAGAGAGAGAGAGGGAUGGCAGAAGCUCGUUUUUGACUGCCGCUAAGAGGAGCCAAAGAGUGUUUGGCAGAGUCUCUGCCCAUUUUUGUCUGUCUUUGACUCUGGAGGAGAUGAAGAACAGAGGCAUUCUAAAGUUUAUCUCCAGCCUCCCUCUCCAUCCUCUCCCAGCUCUGUCUGGGAUGAAAGCAGGUUCCUCGUGGCACUGCGGGGGGGGGGCUGCACCUGUUAUCCUGGGGUCUUCGUCACAAAAACUCCUCAUACUCCAAGAGUUUGGAGUGCUGGCGUGUCUUCCAGAGGCGGUAGAGGCGGAAGUCAAAGUACAUCUCAAUCAUCUCUUUGCCUUGAUUGGUAAAUGAGGACAGGAAAAGUUUGAAUUAUGCUUUUAGGAAGCAGAAAAACAUUGUUAGCUAAGAGCAAUAUGUGGGCAGAAUUUUAUGAUUCUAAUAUACCCACAAAAACACAGCACACACAACAAAACCAGGCUCUAAUGCAGGUGAUCGGACCUCGACUAACUUCGAGCUUGACCCAUGGGGAGCAAGGAUCAAAAUGUUUCUGCUCCUGCUUUCCAACCCCCAUCAUUUGUUCUAUUAUUUUGUGUUAACAUACUGUAUAUUGACCAGUGUAAAUAGCUUUUCCUCAUUGUUUUACUAUUACUGCAUAUGUAGUGUAAUGUUGUCUGUUUGAUAGAGUACUGGCAGGCGACAUAGUUAUAAAAGAGUUCAGGAAAGGAGUGAAAACAUGUCUGUGGAAAACCUCUGAUGAAAGUGAAGCACUGCAGAGGAGGAUUCUGGGUGGACCAUAAGCGUGCUUUAGUUAUAAAGUGUUGACCAGAGUGUACAGUAUGUCCCUACUCCCAGCUGGUAGGAGGAGAGGAGUGGGUUUAAGGUAGUGCAGAUUAAAGAGACUGUACUUUCUCCUUUGUGGUGGGUUUGGCACAAAGUGUGACGUAUAUACUGACUUGAAUUGCAUCCAAGUGAGUGUAUAAGAACAGAAUGAACAUAUUUGAAAUGAGAAGAAAAAGUCCUAGAUUAA